CUCUACUGUCCAAGAAGUGACUUCCGAUAAUGUUCCUGAACCACAACAGCAAAAAGACGAUGCAGUCAAAGAAGUUCAGGAAUCAGUUGAAGUUGAGGAGGAAGAUAAGCAUGAUGUAUCCAUGGUGACACAUUGUGACACUACAGAGGACAUUAGUGAAGUCAGGAAAGAAAUUGUAUUGUCUUCCACUAGUCAAGAGUUGUCUUUUGACAAUUUGUCCUUUGAACAGAAAGAGCCUGAAGAGCUGGGAGAACAAGCAGAAGAGACGCAGUCCAUUCUUCAAGAUACACUAACUGAACAUGUGAAUCAAUUCAUCACCAUAAAUGAAAAUGAGUCCAACAAACUUCUGCUAUCCUCUACUGUCCUAGAAGUGACUCCCGAUAAUGUUGUUGAACAACAACAGCAAAAAGACGAUGCAGUCAAAGAAGUUCAGGAAUUUGUUGAAGUUGAGGAGGAAGAUAAGCAUGAUGUAUCCAUGGUGACGCAUUGUGACACUACAGAGGACAUUAGUGAAGUCAGGAAAGAAUUUGUAUUGUCUUCCACAAGUCAAGAGUUGUCUUUUGACAAUUUGUCCUUUGAACAGAAAGAGUCUGAAAACCUAGGAGAACAAGCAGAAGAGAAGCAGUCGAUUGUUCAAGAUACGCUAACUGAACAUAUGGAUCAAUUUAUCAAUGAAAAUGAUUUCAACAAACUUCUGCUAUCCUCUGCCAUUCAAGAAGUGACUCCCGAUAAUGUGGAAAUGAGGGAUAUCACACCUGAAGAAAGCUUUGUGCCUGAAGAAAUAGAUACAGAAUUCUCUAAAGCUCUAGCAACAACUGAAUGGGAAGUUCUUGAAAAUCCUACAGAAAAUGUUCACCAAGAUGACAAAGUUGAGCAUGAUUCCUUGUCACCCACGGAUGAGCCCCUAAACAUAUCCCCUGAAAGUGUUCAUGAAGCCACUAAUCUCUUUAUUGUAAAGGACUCAAAGGAGCUGCUGAAAACUAAUGGCAAAACUAGCCUGGAUGACAUGUUUAGCAUCAAUGCCAAUAAUGACUUCUGGGUAUCCCCAUUAGAAACAGGUGCCACAUAUCAACCUGAUAAUGUAGAUAAUAAGCAUGCGGAAUGGAAGCUAGGUUUUGGAGAUGCAGACGGUAGGGAGACAGAGGAAUUAGUUGAAAAAUCGGAUAUUGUUUAUGAGCAAAAAGAAGUUUCACAAAUUUUCACCAAAAGUGUUGUCAAGGGAGAAAUAGUCCAUUCUGAGGAGUCUGAAGAUGAUAGUGAAGCAAUGUCUUCUGAUGAGGAAUAAGAUAUAAGAACAUAUAGUUUUAUUGUAGUUAAUAAUUUCAAAGGAUAUCAGUGGAACCAAAACCGUGCCUUGGGGUGCACCAUCAUCCACCACCGUGCCAAUACUGUUUGCUAUGACAAGUACUUACAUCUUCCCUAUUAUUGAUGGAUUUUUACUGACCACUUGCUUUAGUCCUGGUGCAUUCUAUAGAAAGGUUUAUCUGCAUGAAAGAACAAAGAGUGUAAUUUGAAAGUUGAAGCAUUUAUUGAUUUGUGGCUAAUCCAAUUCAAUGACUGAUGGAAAAAAAAACAAUUAGAGCAGAAGGGUAGAGUUGCUAUUUUACACAGUAUGAGCUUAUAUUUGCGAAUAAGUA
ensembl:lncRNA